GUGGGGAAUAUUGGACAAUGGGCGAAAGCCUGAUCCAGCCAUGCCGCGUGUGUGAAGAAGGUCUUCGGAUUGUAAAGCACUUUAAGUUGGGAGGAAGGGCAGUAAGUUAAUACCUUGCUGUUUUGACGUUACCGACAGAAUAAGCACCGGCUAACUUCGUGCCAGCAGCCGCGGUAAUACGAAGGGUGCAAGCGUUAAUCGGAAUUACUGGGCGUAAAGCGCGCGUAGGUGGUUUUGUAAGUUGGAGGUGAAAUCCCCGGGCUCAACCUGGGAACUGCAUCCAAAACUGCUUGACUAGAGUACGGUAGAGGGUAGUGGAAGUUCCUGUGUAGCGGGGAAAUGCGUAGAUAUAGGAAGGAACACCAGUGGCGAAGGCGACUACCUGGACUGAUACUGACACUGAGGUGCGAAAGCGUGGGGAGCAAACAGGAUUAGAAACCCGGGUAGUCC
rnacentral:rRNA from 1 species